GUAUCCGUUUUUAACAGAGUUUACUCCUGUGUUAUCACCCUUCCACUCUAGCUCAUCCCUCUAGUCGACCUCAGCGACCAGGAUGCUCAAAAUUCUGCUCACUUGUUCGUCAUCAAACAUAUUACUCACAACUUCCACUUUCCAAGUAGCGACCUCAGCAUCUAUAAGAUCAGCCACCAUUGAGUAAUUUAUGUCUAUAUUCUUAACUGUUACUCUACCUUUUUCAGGUCCUGGUAACCAAGCAUCAUUCCAAAUGUUAAUCCUCCUGUCGUUGCCAACUCUCUACCCCAUUCCUUGCAGCACUCCAAAUACUCCUACAGAUAUAAGAAGGGUGGGAUUCUAACUCAGCACUCAUAAACUCUCCAUUUGGAUAGUACUUAGCUUGCAUAACUAGUGCAAACAAACAGUCUGUAUUUGCAAUCAAUAUCCACCUCUAUUUUUCUA
rnacentral:lncRNA from 1 species